rnacentral:sRNA from 1 species
AAAUGAAACGCACGAUGAAGCUAUAAGAGCGAAAGACAAUAACAUCACCCUAUGGGGAGUUGGCAUUGAUUGCACCUUUCCUCUCACCGAGGACUUGUGUCGUAUCUCUGAGGCGUUUUACCUGAAAGAUUUGUUGACAAACAUACAGACUCUGGAGUACAGCGAUACAGUGACACCAAAUGUGAUCUCCCAUUGUGACCCCACUACAAUAUUGUCUAUCUGUACUGUUUUCUAGCCAGCGGAGGACCUUGUGAUAUGGCCAUCAACAGUUCAUCGUGGGGUCCGAUAAUUCUGUUUCUGAGCUGUUCCUUUGUGAUUCGGUCUUUGUAUGUGACACCUGGGAUCUUUCCGUUCAAGUGAUGUUUCUCUCUAGUUCUGCAGUCAGCGUCCUUAGACCCACCAGGCAUAUAAAAAAAUUUAAACAUAACCAGGGAGCGCAUCAGUCUGAUUUUAGAGUCAAGGGAUAUGCCAUUGUCUGUCCAUAUUGUAUUGUAUUAAUACUAUGAACUAAUACCUUAACAAUACAUUUACUGACCUGUUUCAUUUAUAUUAACAAGAAUAAUGAUUUUCUCUACCAUUCACAUUUAAUAUACAUCUUAAAAUAACAUCG